GACAGAGGUGCCGAGCGUUAGGCGGAAUCACUGGGCUUAAAGCGUGUGUAGGCGGAUCGUUAAGUGCCUUGUGAAAUCCCACGGCUCACCCGUGGAACUGCUGGGCAUACUGGCGGUCUUGAGCCACCUAGGGGCAACCGGAACAAACGGUGGAGCGGUGAAAUGCGUAGAUAUCGUUUGGAACGCCAAUGGUGAAAACAGGUUGCUGGGGGUGUGCUGACGCUGAGACACGAAAGCCAGGGGAGCAAACAGG
rnacentral:rRNA from 1 species